CUACGGGAUGCUCCAGUGGGGAAUAUUGCACAAUGGAGGAAACUCUGAUGCAGCAACGCCGCGUGGAGGAUGACACUUUUCGGAGCGUAAACUCCUUUUAUAUAGGAAGAAGAUGACGGUACUAUAUGAAUAAGCGCCGGCUAACUCCGUGCCAGCAGCCGCGGUAAUACGGAGGGCGCAAGCGUUACUCGGAAUCACUGGGCGUAAAGAGCGUGUAGGCGGAUUAAAAAGUCAGAAGUGAAAUCCUAUAGCUUAACUAUAGAACUGCUUCUGAAACUCUUAAUCUAGAAUAUGGGAGAGGUAGAUGGAAUUUCUGGUGUAGGGGUAAAAUCCGUAGAGAUCGGAAGGAAUACCGAUUGCGAAGGCGAUCUACUAGAACAUUAUUGACGCUGAGACGCGAAAGCGUGGGGAGCAAACAGGUUUAGAUACCCCUGUAGUC
rnacentral:rRNA from 1 species